ensembl:snRNA U6 U6 spliceosomal RNA
GUGCUCGCUUUGGCAGCACAUAUACUAAAAUUGGAACAAUACAGAGAAGAUUAGCUUUUCGAAUUAUAUUAUAAAAAAAGAAAAGAAAAAAAUAAAU